rnacentral:misc_RNA from 1 species
UUGGUGUUCGCUUCCCGUUUCCUUUGUUCAAAGCACAGCUUCCUGUCAGUAUGACGAUCAACUCAUCAACUACUGAUUUCUCGCUUCUGUUUACGCUUUUUCUAUAGUUCACCUUUUUUCUUUCCGUCAGCUUCCCGCUCUUAUCACAUGUUCCGCCGCUGCACCGCGCUUCGUGCCAUGCCUGCACAUCUUUGGCGCCUUAACCACGUUGCCAUCGCUGUUCCUGCUAGUCGUAGCCUCGUAGAGGCUGGCGAGAUGUACACGCGCAUCUUUAACGCCAAGGUCAGCGAACCGGUGAAACAGGAGGCGCACGGGGUCAUCACAGUCUUUGUAGAGCUGGCGAACACAAAGAUUGAGCUGCUUCACCCUCUCGGCGACAACAGUCCCAUUUCGGCCUUCUUGGAGCGCAACAAGGACGGAGGUAUGCACCACAUCUGCCUUGAAGUCCCAGAUAUCGCAGCGGCAAUGCAAAUAUGCAAGGAGGCAAAUAUUCGCUGUCUUGGCACGGCACCGAAGAUCGGUGCUCACGGCAACCCUGUGAUCUUCCUCCACCCAAAAGACUGCGGCGGAGUCCUCACCGAGCUCGAAGAGGUGAAAUCAUGAGACGCUUUCUGUUCCCGAGUUGUGCGGCCCUUGCUAAAAAAGGUUUUUUUUUGUUUCUGCUGUCUUGCACUCCUUGCCGGGCGUUUUUUCUGUCUUUUUUGCUUCUCUGCCCCCUCCCCCCUCUCCCUCCGGCAGUGCCAUUUCUUGGGUGCCUGUGCGCGUGCCCGUGCCUUAAUGCUGCCUCCCUGAAAACGAGAAAAUACUGUACUCCUCUGCUGGUGUUACGAAAAGCACACGAACCACGUUCCUUCCCGACUGUAUGAGCUGAUGCAUUUCCUUCUUGGCCGUACCUGCCUUAUUAAGCCUUUUUUACAUUUCCAUACUUCUUCUCCGAUCUUUGCAAUUCUUGACUACCACGUUUGUUACGCUGCCACUCGUAUCUAU